rnacentral:rRNA from 1 species
CGAGCACGCGCGUGUGGCAUAUCAAUAAGCGGAGGAAAAGAAACUAACAAGGAUUCCCUUAGUAACGGCGAGUGAAGCGGGAAGAGCUCAAAUUUGAAAUCUUCAAGGUUCUACCUUGACAAAUUGUAGUUUAUAGAAGUGUUUUCUGUUAGUGGAGUGGCAAAAGUUCUUUGGAAUAGGACAUCAUAGAGGGUGAGAAUCCCGUAUUUGGUCAUUCCUCCUAGCGUUGUGAUACACUUUCAACGAGUCGGAUUGUUUGGGAAUGCAGUCCAAAAUGGGUGGUAAAUUUCAUCUAAAGCUAAAUAUUGGCGAGAGACCGAUAGCGAACAAGUACCGUGAGGGAAAGAUGAAAAGAACUUUGAAAAGAGAGUUAAACAGUACGUGAAAUUGUCAAAAGGGAAGCGUUUGACACCAGUGUUGUUUUUCCGAAAAUCAAUUACGAAUGUUUUGUUUUUGAGGAGUUAUGACUUCAUCGGCUUGCUCCUUUCUUUAUGAAACUUUCUUAAUGCACUUUUCGGUUAACAAGUCAACAUCAAUUUCUUUUGUUGUAAAAGGGUAUGAGGAAGGUGGCUUUCUUUUCGGAGAAAGUGUUUAUAGCCUUGUGCCUCUGCAAUCGGAGAGAUUGAGGUCUGCAGCGUAGAUCCUUCGGGGUUAGAUACGUUUGUGCUAAGUUAUAGCUUUUCAUAGACAACUUGUUGACUAUGUUUAGUCUUGUAGCUUACUCGCUGAUGCUAUUUUACCUACGCUUAGGAUGUUGAGUAGCGACAUACGCAC